rnacentral:rRNA from 1 species
UCUGAGUGAUUUCCGUUAAGGAGAUCUUUUGGCACCUCUAAAAUUGGUGCAGAAUAAGGGGUGGGCAAGUCUGGUGUCAGCCGCCGCGGUAAUACCAGCACCCCGAGUGGUCGGGACGUUUAUUGGGCCUAAAGCAUCCGUAGCCGGUUCUACAAGUCUUCCGUUAAAUCCACCUGCUUAACAGAUGGGCUGCGGAAGAUACUAUAGAGCUAGGAGGCGGGAGAGGCAAGCGGUACUCGAUGGGUAGGGGUAAAAUCCGUUGAUCCAUUGAAGACCACCAGUGGCGAAGGCGGCUUGCCAGAACGCGCUCGACGGUGAGGGAUGAAAGCUGGGGGAGCAAACCGGAUUAGAUACCCGGGUAGUCCCAGCUGUAAACGAUGCAGACUCGGUGAUGAGUUGGCUUCUUGCCAACUCAGUGCCGCAGGGAAGCCGUUAAGUUUGCCGCCUGGGGAGUACGGUCGCAAGACUGAAACUUAAAGGAAUUGGCGGGGGGAGCACA